GUAGGUGGCAAGCGUUGUCCGGAAUUAUUGGGGCGUAAAGCGCGCGCAGGCGGUUCUUUAAGUCUGAUGUGAAAGCCCACGGGCUCAACCGUGGAGGGUCAUUGGAAACUGGAGAACUUGAGUACAGAAGAGGAAAGCGGAAUUCCACGUGUAGCGGUGAAAUGCGUAGAGAUGUGGAGGAACACCAGUGGCGAAGGCGGCUUUCUGGUCUGUAACUGACGCUGAGGCGCGAAAGCGUGGGGAGCAAACAGGAUUAGAUACCCUGGUAGUCCACGCCGUAAACGAUGAGUGCUAAGUGUUAGGGGGGUUUCCGCCCCUUAGUGCUGCAGCUAACGCAUUAAGCACUCCGCCUGGGGGAGUACGGCCGCAAAGGCUGA
rnacentral:rRNA from 1 species